AAAAGAGGGAAAAACUGGUGUCUGAAACAGUCUGUUACUCUGUUAUAACUUAGUGGUUGUUAUUGCUGUAAGUACACAGUAAUAACUGGGGAAUACUCAGCUUAUCAAAGCCUUUAUAAACUCAGAGAUUUCCCAUCUGGAAAGCAUGACGUAAAAGUAAGUGAUGUGAAAAGUAGCAAAAACAGGAUUUUAAAAUGUGAGGAUUGCCCUCCACAUCUCCACUGGGGUUGAGUGUGGUUUGAAUAAAACCACAUGUGUCAGCACAUUUUAUUUAAAGUAUUUUCUCUUCUUUAUCAAUUCAGGAUGUCAGUAGGGCAAGAAACUACCACAGCUGUUGCAGAGCGAAACAGGUCUCCUUCAGCUGUUGUCUCCACCCUGUGGCUUGUAUCAGUGCUUGCAGCCUUAUCUUCUGUUUCUUUAGCUGUUUAGCAAAAACAGUUAUCAUUCAGUGUUUUCUGAGUUUUAUCAUCUACAGUAUUGCUUUGAUUAUUCAUACACUUUUUUUUAGGUCUUUAUUUGGCAGCUUGUGGUGAAUAAGGUAUUGCAGUAUUGUGUCAAAAUAUAGUCAAAUACAGUUUUCUGCUUCUGUCAUAUAUUAUGAAUUAUAAACUCAGUUCUUAUUUUCUUUAUGCACGUUAGAAAAAUGUACGGCAUACUUGAAAUAUAUAUCAACAUUGGAAAUACAAUAAUUCUUUAAUGCAAUUCUGGAAAAAUUAUUGUAUAUUAUGUAUAAUAUAUGUAUAUUACAACAUAAAUGACUUUCAGGAAAAUUGUGACGUAUGAUUCACAGUUGUGAAAAAGAAAGAUUUCACAGGACUAAACUAAAUACGCCCUUACUGAUUAGGGUAAGUAGCAUUCAGGUACUGCCAUCUCUAUAAAACACUUUUUGGCACUGGAGCAUUCAGCUUUGUGUUAACUCAAUGCUAUAAUCUUUCCAUGUCUGGUCUUCCCAGUAAAAUCACAAAAAGCCUAAAGAGUUGCAUUUUAGACUCUACAGGCCUCAGUUAACAUGUCAAAUAUUAAACUUUAGGACAAUUAGAAAAACUCUGAACAGGUAUGACUUGUUUGAAGGUUUUGCCAGGAUAAAGCUUCUUCUAUCUAAAAACAUCAUGAAGCACAGCUUAGAUUUGCAAAGUUGCUUUGGUUUGUUUUGUAGUCACAGGACCUGGGAACCUUGCAGUCACUGAGUGGACCAUGAACUCAUCUUUAUACUAAAAUAUUCUAGAGUGAAAUGUGAGGCCAUCUGCCUGACAUCUGAAGUUUGACUCAAACUUGCUCAUGCAACAGGACAAUGAUCUCAAGCACAGCAGCAAAUCUGCAACAUAAUGGCUGAGUAAGAAAGGAAUGAAGGUGUUGCAUUGAGACCAGUCAAAGUCCAGACCACAAUCUAACUGAAAUGCUGAGCUGUUAAGAGAGCUGUGCAUGAACAAAUGUUUGCACCCCUCAAGAAACUGAAGCAACUUCCAAAAUUUCUUCACAAUGAUGUGACAGACUGACAAAGUCAUACAUGGAAUGAUUAUAUCAAGCUACUGCUGCUAAAGGUGUUUGUACAAGCUACUGAAUCAUGGGUACUUAGGUUUUUUGGUUUUCUUUAGUUUUUAUUACUUGGUAUUAUUGUAGGGAUUUUUCUUACAAUAUAAAGCAACUCUAGUUGUUGUGGUUUGGUGCCACAUAAAUAUAAUUUUAUUCAAACUGAAUUGGUUUUUUGUGUGUCCCAAUGUAUGUGCCCAAAGUAUAAAUGAACUGCCAUUGUUAAAGUUCCAUAUAUACUCUGUGUUAAUACGUUUGCUUUCACUGGAGGUUUUACAAAACUGAAACUUCUCACAUGAUCAUUUUGUUUGUUUACACAACUAAGCCCACUUCGUUCAUGUUACUAAACAAAAUAACUAAAAUGAAUAAUUUUGUAUAAUUUGUUACAAAUAGUCAGACUUAUGAACUUUAAUUACAUUCAUGCAAAUUAAUUGUUGCUGUGGGUCAAAUAUUUGUGCAUGUUUGUUGAGGUAUUUCCCCACUUUGUUGUGAUCAGUGUUACUCAAAAAAGUAAUUACUGACUCAUAAUCAGCAUUUCACAAUAUAACCUGAGGCUACAGGCCCACAGACCAACACAAAUCCCUAAUCAGGACACAUGUCUCUAACAUCUUUCUCUUAGUAGAAUACAAAGCUGACAUACAAAAAAAAGAAAACCAACAAAAAAAAAGGGAUUCUGCUUUAGAAAUGUGAACAGGUAGAAAGCGAAGCUGCAGCCUAACUGCUCAUCUUCUUGUUACCUGUUGGGGUCGUCAUUCACUCAGCUUUCACUGUGGGUCUUGGCUAGCUUAGCAUUAGCAUGCUAUCUUGGCAGAUGCUUGCCAAGUGCUGAAGUUAGAGUUAGCAGCAUAAUGCAGUUGUUUCUGUCCUGGAUGCAGUUUUGCACUUUGCCAUUUAUCCUGUCUUUUUGUGCAAUAAAAAUAAAGUAAAUGUCCAUAUCCACA
ensembl:lncRNA